AAACUACCAUGCAUGGUCAUCGACCAGUAUUAUAGGUUUUACAGUUUUUAGGGUAGGAUCUAAAUCUCUUCUCUUAGAAUUUUUUCUUCAGUGUUAUUUCUUGAAUUGUACCAAAGCUGAUCUGUGGACUAAAGAAUAAAGUGAAAGUGUUGGUAAGAUUGAGGCUGUUGACCCUGUUUGGGAUAGCCUCUCUUUUUUUCUCCAUCCUUUGGAUCUGGCACUCUGGGGAAAGCAGCCGCCAUACUGUGAGCAGUUCUCUGGAGGGGUCCAUCAAAGUGAAAAACAGACACUGAGCAACUGUCACAGUCUCCUGCCAGCAGGAAGACAUGAGGACCAUGAACUUCUACCCUCGAAUUAGAGUCAUUUACAAACUCCAAAAGAGUAGGAGUGGACCCAUGUGCUGGAUGUGAAAAGUGAAUCAAUGGAAUUCAAGACCCUGGGCC